UUUGGAAAAAUGGAGGGAGGAGGAGAGGACGAUGACUACAUGGCAGAUCUGGGCUGCUUCUUGGAUCCAAAGCACCUCCAGGAUGGGAAGAAGAAGGCGCCAAUCCCAGCGGCAAGCAGCCAGACGAAGGAAAGCAAGGGAAAGCUGCACUGGAAAGACAAACGUAAAGAGUCCCGCGAGCGAGCGAAAAAGUCCGAGCAAGCCCAGCUCACGGAGGGAUUAAACACGGCGAUACCAUCCUCCAACAUCGGUUUUAAGCUCCUCCAGCAGAUGGGAUACAAGCCCGGUGGAGCUCUCGGCAAGCACGGACAAGGAGCUCUGGAGCCACUCAAGGUUGAUGUCAAACACUCCCGGACGGGACUCGGGGUUGACGAGAGGGAGCGACGAUUCAAAGCGAGAGCAGCGAAGCAACAAGAGAUCCAGCGGGACUUGAAAAGGAAGAUCGAUGACGUGAGUCGCAGAGAUUUCCAGGAUCGCCAAAGGAGUUCUUGGCAGGCUGGAAAGAUAAGUCGUGACUACAAAAAGGCGGCCUCGGCACUGGCUCAACUCGAGGAGCUUGCUGGAAUUUCGCGAGGAGAAGUCAAGAGAGAAGAUGACAAUGGAGACGACGACAAAGAGGAGGAGGAAGACGAGGUUGUGGUGACAGAAGAGGACUUGAUGAGAAUUGUAGAGGACUUGCGGAGGCGAUUUUUCUAUUGCGUCUACUGUGGAUGCAAGUAUGAUUCCGCAGAGGAAAUGGAGGGCUCGUGUCCGGGGCUUGACGAAGAUGCUCACUAGCGACAUGGUCGCAGCCACUUUUAGUUUUUGCUCUCUGGCAGCACACUUGGUACGAUUGUCAAAAGGCGAGAGACAUGCCAUCGACCGAUGCCCCCACCAGGCCGACGCUGAUGCAAACAACAGUAAAGCUAGCAUUACGCCAAAGCAAAAUAGAAGAAGAAGAAGGAUUGAGAAUCUUCGCAGAGACUCCAAAUUUUGCUGAUGGAGAGUUCCAUCGAUCAAUCACAAACAGAGAAAAGAAUGCAAGCCUUUUUGGAAGGAGGAGCUCGCCAAAGGAACAGAAAAGAUUCGUUGGAUCUACGCCAAGUGUCGGUGCUUGCUAUCCUUGAGUCACACGUCGGCCAUGGCAGCAAAGCUUUGUUUUUUUCUUCGUGAUAGGAGAUUUUACGAUCCCGGGACGCGACUGUAGUGUACGUGGAGUUUUUACUUCCUCGACUUCCAAGUUUUUUACAGUUCCCAGGUUUAUGAUUCUUGGUAAAGGCUGCAGUGGCUCUGUACGCUGUGUUCGUAGACGAGUCAGAGUCGGGAGACAAAGAUCGGUGAUGCUUUGAUCGAUCGAUCGCUCGCGCUGGCCUGGUGACUUUUACCACGUAAGAGAUUUCCAGCAUUCAUUCACUUGUCUUGCUUUGGGCUUGUAGCCACCAAUCGCGAGUUCUUUUUGCU